GAUUAAUUCGUCAAUCGGGGUAAAAUAAUUUGUUUUGCGAUAUAACUGUGAAAUGACAAACUCAUGGUAGUAACAUAACAAAUUGAUCGAGCACUAUUACAAAGUUUCAACUGGUGUUGACAAAAACAAACUUGCGCAUGACUGAUUUAUUUGCGUGACGACUCUUCACAACCGUAUUUGACAAAUCCUCUUCGCGGUCAAUGUAGAAAUGACGAGUUUAAGUCGGCCAUAACGAAUUAUAUUACAAAUUAUUUGCUGAAAAACAAAUCAAUUUGUUGAGGCAAAAUGCAUGACAAAUUUAGCUCCUGAAGACAGUUCGGGACACCCCGCACAUAAUCAGCGUCUUCGAAUCACUCGCCGGUCGCCGUGAUUUUGCUGCGAAGCAAGGCUUGGGUAGAUCGUAAAAGUUUCUUGCAGAGUUUCGCAGGAUUCAUGGUGAGGACCUAAUCACACUGUUCAACCAAGGACUACAAAGACUGGCAGAACCCCUUUCUGGACUUCACAAAGAUAGAUGCAAAUGAGCCAAGAAAGAUGUGACAGUUUACUUCCCGGAAGCUAAGAAGAAAUUGCCAUACAGAUUCUACCAACCUUUUUCAAGGAAGACCUGGUGAUAUAUUCAUCUCAAGUGACAAGGUUGAUACGAAGCCCAUGUACAUACAUGUAUCCUGCAAUCAAGAGGAAUCAUAUGAGCUUGUUCUGGAGGAGCAAAGAGUCUGUCAAGUCCAGGAUAAAGUGCAUGCAUUGGCUUGUUAAGUAGCUGGUUUUUAUUUUUCAUUCAGCCUAUGGCUGUGAGCCAUCAGUCAUGAAAAUUCGUGAGUUUUGCCAACUUGGAAUUCUUCAGGUGAAAGAUGCAUGUCCUGUUGAUAAAUCUGUUAUCAACCUUCUGAACAUGUUGAAGAAGAAAGUGCCCUCCAAACAAGGGAAGUAACU